rnacentral:rRNA from 1 species
AUACGUAGGUGGCAAGCGUUGUCCGGAUUUACUGGGCGUAAAGAGUAUGUAGGCGGACAUUUAAGUCAGAUGUGAAAUUCCCGGGCUUAACCUGGGAGCUGCAUUUGAUACUGGGUGUCUAGAGUGCAGGAGAGGAAAGUGGAAUUCCUAGUGUAGCGGUGAAAUGCGUAGAGAUUAGGAAGAACACCAGUGGCGAAGGCGACUUUCUGGACUGUAACUGACGCUGAGAUACGAAAGCGUGGGGAGC